GGCGCACCUCAGAGUUUAGUUUGGGAAAGGAGACUGAGCCAUUAACUAUCAAGCACAGCCCAUCUCUCCCCCUCCUGUUGGAGCAGUCCAUACUUCACGCCGCCUUCAGACAGCUGUGCUUACCAUGCAGUCCACAGACAGGGUGGGAAAGAAGGAGACGGGGAGAGAAACAGAGUCUGCCUGCCGUUGGAAAAAAAGCAAUCUUUCUGUUUCCUAAUGGAGCUAUUCUAUUUACAUCAGUUAUUCAGAUGGCGCCUUAAAUUGGCCUCACUGAUAUAACAUCGUUCCUUUUGUUAAGAGGAUGAGGAAAAUGAGAAGAUGAAGGUGGCUGACAGAGACGUUGCAUUAAUUUGUAAUUCAUUAAGUCACAUUCUUUAAAAGAAACAUUAUGAGCUCUUUUCAUUGCUUGAGCAGAUGUUUUCUUAUUUUAGGGUCUUUGGGGAAUUAACUCAGCUUUUAACUCUGGCAAACUGAAACAGACUUGUGAAAAAAACUGAAGCUAUUUCACAGUUUCUGAGUGAAAAAAUCAACAAAGGAGAUUUACAAACAAG